UGGGGAAUAUUGGACAAUGGGGGCAACCCUGAUCCAGCCAUGCCGCGUGAGUGAAGAAGGCCUUCGGGUUGUAAAGCUCUUUCGGCGGGGACGAAACGGUCCGUGACAACACCACGGACUAAUGACAGUACCCGCAUAAGAAGCACCGGCUAACUACGUGCCAGCAGCCGCGGUAAUACGUAGGGUGCAGGCGUUAAUCGGAAUUACCGGGCGUAAAGCGUGCGCAGGCGGUUGUGUAAGUCAGAUGUGAAAUCCCCGGGCUCAACCUGGGAAUUGCAUUUGAGACUGCACGGCUAGAGUGUGUCAGAGGGGGGUAGAAUUCCACGUGUAGCAGUGAAAUGCGUAGAUAUGUGGAGGAAUACCGAUGGCGAAGGCAGCCCCCUGGGAUAACACUGACGCUCAUGCACGAAAGCGUGGGGAGCAAACAGGAUUAGAUACCCAGGUAGUCCCUGAGCGGGCUGGCAAGGCGCAU
rnacentral:rRNA from 1 species